rnacentral:rRNA from 1 species
AAAACUUUCAACAACGGAUCUCUUGGUUCUGGCAUCGAUGAAGAACGCAGCGAAAUGCGAUAAGUAAUGUGAAUUGCAGAAUUCAGUGAAUCAUCGAAUCUUUGAACGCACAUUGCGCCCCUUGGUAUUCCGAGGGGCAUACCUGUCCGAGCGUC